rnacentral:rRNA from 1 species
CCUACGGGAGGCAGCAGUGGGGAAUAUUGCACAAUGGGCGCAAGCCUGAUGCAGCCAUGCCGCGUGUGUGAAGAAGGCCUUCGGGUUGUAAAGCACUUUCAGCGGGGAGGAAGGCGGUGAGGUUAAUAACCUCAUCGAUUGACGUUACCCGCAGAAGAAGCACCGGCUAACUCCGUGCCAGCAGCCGCGGUAAUACGGAGGGUGCAAGCGUUAAUCGGAAUUACUGGGCGUAAAGCGCACGCAGGCGGUCUGUCAAGUCGGAUGUGAAAUCCCCGGGCUCAACCUGGGAACUGCAUUCGAAACUGGCAGGCUAGAGUCUUGUAGAGGGGGGUAGAAUUCCAGGUGUAGCGGUGAAAUGCGUAGAGAUCUGGAGGAAUACCGGUGGCGAAGGCGGCCCCCUGAACAAAGACUGACGCUCAGGUGCGAAAGCGUGGGGAGCAAACAGGAUUAGAUACCCUAGUAGUC